GACGAACGCUGGCGGCGUGCUUAACACAUGCAAGUCGAACGGUAAGGCCCUUCGGGGUACACGAGUGGCGAACGGGUGAGUAACACGUGGGUGAUCUGCCCUGCACUUCGGGAUAAGCCUGGGAAACUGGGUCUAAUACCGGAUAGGACCACUGCCUGCAUGGGUGGUGGUGGAAAGCCUUUGCGGUGUGGGAUGGGCCCGCGGCCUAUCAGCUUGUUGGUGGGGUGAUGGCCUACCAAGGCGACGACGGGUAGCCGGCCUGAGAGGGUGACCGGCCACACUGGGACUGAGAUACGGCCCAGACUCCUACGGGAGGCAGCAGUGGGGAAUAUUGCACAAUGGGCGCAAGCCUGAUGCAGCGACGCCGCGUGAGGGAUGACGGCCUUCGGGUUGUAAACCUCUUUCAGCACCGACGAAGCGCAAGUGACGGUAGGUGCAGAAGAAGGACCGGCCAACUACGUGCCAGCAGCCGCCGCGGUAA
rnacentral:rRNA from 1 species